GGUGAGGGACCCCUCCCUCUUCCCUCAGACCGAGAUCCGAAGGAGAAGAUGGCGGUUCACUCUUUCACUCACUGACUCCGUGAUUCUGUUUUCCAGCUACAAACUUGGACGACGACCAGAGUGACAUUGUUGCAGGUGACAUUUGCCAACAGUCUGCAGAACCACCAGGGUCACCAAACAGUGCUACUCCUGCAGGAUCUGAUGAUAUCUUCCAGUGCAGUGCACAGGAUCCUUUGCAGCAGUCAAAGAGUUAUUCUGCUCCAGAAGGACCUGAUGACAUUUCCCAGUCUAGAGCAGGGGGUCCUGUGCAGCCUGUCCAUAAGCUCUUCCCCAAGACGCAGCAUGCUAAAUGGAAAAGGGCAUUUAAUGACUCCUGGUACAGAGACUGUGUAAAUGUAAAAUUGAAAAUGAGUUUUACUGUCUACACUUUUUUUAAUUAAAGUGUUUGAAAAAGGU